rnacentral:rRNA from 1 species
GAUCGUGGAGUGUAGGCUUUGCCUGCUAUCUCUUACCCAUGUCUUUUAAGUACCUUACGUUUCCUCGGCGGGUCCGCCCGCCGAUUGGACAAUUUAAACCAUUUGCAGUUGCAAUCAGCGUCUGAAAAAACUUAAUAGUUACAACUUUCAACAACGGAUCUCUUGGUUCUGGCAUCGAUGAAGAACGCAGCGAAAUGCGAUAAGUAGUGUGAAUUGCAGAAUUCAGUGAAUCAUCGAAUCUUUGAACGCACAUUGCGCCCCUUGGUAUUCCAUGGGGCAUGCCUGUUCGAGCGUCAUUUGUACCUUCAAGCUCUGCUUGGUGUUGGGUGUUUGUCUCGCCUCUGCGUGUAGACUCGCCUCAAAACAAUUGGCAGCCGGCGUAUUGAUUUCGGAGCGCAGUACAUCUCGCGCUUUGCACUCAUAACGACGACGUCCAAAAGUACAUUUUUACACUCUUGACCUCGGAUCAGGUAGGGAUACCCGCUGAACUUAAGCAUAUCAAUAAGCCGGAGGAA